rnacentral:lncRNA from 1 species
UCCAAAUGAAUUUUCAUUAUUUCCAAUCAUAGGCCUUCUACUCAAUUCAGACAACAUGAUCUUUACAAACUCAAAAGCUAUAUAUAACAACUGUUCAUUCAGUCAUUCCACAUACAAAUAAAAACUCAAAUUAACACAAGCUACAUACAAAUUUCAUAUUGACAAAUAUCACUACAUAUAUAAAAAACAACAAUCUCAUCAUCACAUGAUUCAUUAAUAAAAAAAAAACACGGAUAAUAAUCCCUCAAACUAUACAAGUAGGAGUAGAAGCAGCAUCAAUGCCACUAUGAAAUGUACCAAAAGGAACCAUAAUAUAUAUAGAUAAUUUCCUUGAUCUAAAUGAUAUGCUUCAUCACUAAUUCAAUCUUCAAACAUACAUUUAGUUGAUGCAGCAUUAUGAAAAUGCAAUCAAUCAGAAUGAGGUUACAUUCUCCACACCUAAACCUAAAGUUUUGAGUGAAACAAAGGUGGGAGUGAAAAGCCCACACUUGACACGGUCAGAGGUCUCCCCUGCACCAAACAAAUCAAUACUUUGCAUAGUUUUAGUCUUCUUAGAGUAGUAGAAAAGGCGAUCGGAAAAGUAUACCAUCAUUAACAUCAAUAGGUCGCCAUUUUCGAAAACUUUGAUGGGAUCAACAUACCUCAAGCCAUCAUCAAGGGGGAUCACAUAUUCCAUGCUCCAAGAUUCGUCCACUCCAUAUUCCUUCAUAAUCCAUAUAGUAAGCUCGCAUCGCCCACCACAAUCUACAUAUUCGGAUGCUACCUUGCAAAACCAUAGGCAACCGCUCAAAGCAGAAAUGGACGUUACUCUUAUCAAGGGCAAUCCUUGAGCAAGAUAAGGAGGAGCUUUAAAGAAGCUAAAACAUUCUGUUUCAACAUCAAAGCAAGAAAUCCAUGACUCUUCUCCUCCAAUGGUUGCUAUCCAAUGGAGAUUUCCAUUAACAAAUGCACCUUCACCAUCAUGGUAAUUAUAUGGAAUACCUUCAAGGCGUCGCCAAGAUCCUGUUCCAAGAGUGUAUACAUGACAAUCCAAUUUAUCAUCAUAGGGCCUACGUUUAAUACAGACUACCUCGCUUCCCCCAAAUCCCAAAGCAGAUACUUCUAGAAGAGUAGACUGUUGUGGAUCUGCAGGCAGAUCCAGCUCAAUAACUUCACGAGUGAUCGGAUUACAUACAACAACCUUACCAAAACUCACCCUUAUAACAAGAAAACCAUUAAAACAAUUCCUUAUUCUUCCAAUGAAGCGGUAAGGGACAUCAUAGUGGGCGAGUGGAUUGUAGCUCUCGAGAUGGAGAUUGAGCUCGCCUUCCAAUUCCAAAACUUUCAACUGAUUUGAAUUCCCCACAACAACUAGGGCGGGGGCGGAUCUAGCAAAAUGAGACUUGACAAAUGCAUCAGACUCCAGCAGAUGGAGCCAUCGCUUGCAAACACAUUUGCUUAUUAGAAUGCUUACAACAGGUAGCCUUAAGAGGAUCUCGGUGAUGAUUUCUGAUGGUAGAUUUUUGAAGAAAUCUGGCUCCAUUUUGGGAUGGAUUGAGAGGGUUUUUCAACAGUAUAAUAGAAACUCCAAUCUGAAGUGCGGAAGCGGUGGGAAUGGGGGCGGCGGAAAUGAAAAUAGGGCAACAGAUAAUAAUUUCAAAUCCUCUCAAGUGCCUCCCCAUUUCAGUCCCUUUUUUUCACAUUUUUUCCAUUUAUAUUUAUUGUAAUAAUUUACUGAGCGUAUUGUCACAUUUUUUUUUCCCAUUUCAGCACAUUAAUUUUAUUUUAAUAAUUUCUUGAUUCUAUUUUUAAACGACGAUCUUCGUCAAAUUUAACCUUUGGUUUAUUUUUCUUUGACAAAAACAAAAAUAUACCUAUACUAUAAAAGAAAUGUAUAAAAUGUACUCAUUUUGGGGUUGAAAGGACUAAGAUACCCUUAAGACAAAAAAAAAUACCAAACAAAUCUUCUUGCUUGCCACGCUCGACAUUUCCGCUUUGCUCGACAGUUCAAUGCUCAACGCUCGACGCCUUCGCCUCGCUCGACGGUUCUUAGUUGCUGGACACGAGAUGCUCGGCACUCGAUGCUCAAGGUGUCGAGCAAUAGUUCAAUUUGAACUAUUGCUCGCCUUGCUCGACAGUUUAAUGCUCGAUGCUUGAUGCCUCCGCCCUCGCUCGACAAUUCUCAGUUGCUCGACAUUCGAUGCUUGACGCUUGACACUUGAGUGCUCGAUGCUUUAGUGUCGAGCAAUGCGCGAAUUACGAAUAAGGGUAAAAAUGUCCUAAGUGGAUAGAUUUUAUUGUUUUGAAAAAAGUCGGUAUAUUUUAUGUUUUAUCUUUCAAAAAAGGUAUAUCUCAUUUUGCCUCUUUUCUUUAUUAUUUCCGCCUGAUUUGAAAAUUGCCUUUUUAGCUUAGUUUUUCUUUGUUUCCUUUGUUGGGUGGAGUUAAUUGCCUAUUCAUAGACGAAUUAUAUUCAAAUUUUGAUUUUAAAUUUAAUCUAUUUUAUUGGUUAAAAAAUAAAUAAAUUUUAAUUUUUUUUAAAAAUAAAAAGCUUUAACAGUUAAAGAUACAUAAUAUAAUUAAUUCAAAAUAUAUAAAUUAGUAAUAACUUUUCGGUCUAUUCGAUGUCAACAUAUCCAUAAUAUUUGUUUGAUUUCCACUAGUAACUGAAAGGAAAAUCGAAUUAGAUGGUUUGAUUCGAUUUUAAAGUGAUUCGAUAUAUUAAAUUAGCCUAUUUCUUAUAGUAAAUUAAAAAUUUAUCUAUUAUAAUAAAACAUUUAAAAAUUACCCACUUUUUAAAUGAUUAAAUUGCCCUUAAAAUUAAAAUUAAAAAAUUACUCACAAAUCUCUCUCAUCUUUCUUUCUCUUCUCUAUCUCUUGGAGCUGGAGCUGGAGCUGGAGCCGAUCGACUACAUUUGGAGCUGCCUAAUUGAUCAACUAUUUGUCGACGUUGGAUCUAGCAAGGGAUAUAAUUAUGAUGGUGCAUGAUCCAUUAUUAUGCAAAAUCAUGCUUUUUUGAGCAAGCAAUCAGAUCAAGGUGCUGUCGAAACUCGAAGAUAUUGUGUUUUCUUUCUCUCUUUUUUUUAAAAAAUAAAAAUAAAUAAAAAAAUUAGAGCAAAAUUAAUAGUGAGAUGUAGCCAUGGGAUUAUAUCUAAUACAUAUUUCUAGUGAACCUAAAUUGGAGAGAUUGAAAUACAGAUUGCGAUGAGUAUUAAUUCAUUCCAUUACUCAAAAUACCAAAAUUUUGCCAUUUUCGAAAGAUAUACCAAGAAGGGUUGGGUUUUAUUUUUUUUUUUUNAGGUCUCCCCUGCACCAAACAAAUCAAUACUUUGCAUAGUUUUAGUCUUCUUAGAGUAGUAGAAAAGGCGAUCGGAAAAGCUUACAACCCCUAACAUCAAUAGGUCGCCAUUUUCGAAAACUUUGAUGGGAUCAGCAUACCUGAUGCAGGGAUAAUAAGGUCUCAUGCUUUCAUCAAGUCGGAUCACAUAUUCCAUGCUCCAAGAUUCGUCCACUCCAUAUUCCUUCAUAAUCCAUAUAGUAAGCUCGCAUCGCCCACCAGAAUUUACAAAUUCGGAUGCUACCUUGCAAAACCAUAGGCAACCGUUCAAAGCAGAAAUGGACGUUCCUCUUGUGAAGGGAAAUCCCUGAGCAUGAUAAGGAGGAGCUUUAAAGAAGCUAAAACAUUCUGUUUCAACAUCAAAGCAAGAAAUCCAUGACGAAUCUUCUCCAAUGGUUGCUAUCCAAUGGAGAUUGAGAGGGGUUUUUAAGAGUAUAAUAGAAACUCCAAUCUGAGACUUGUGUUGAACAAAUUCAUGGAGCAGAUAAUAAUCGGAGGCAAAAACAGAGAGUGAAGGGCAGAAGCGGUGGGUAUGGGGGCGGCGGAAAUGAAAAUAGGGCAACAGAUAAUAAUUUCAAACCCUCUCCGGUGCUUUUUCGCCCCAUUUCAGUCCAUUUUCACAUUUUUUUUCCAAUUAUAUUUAUUGUAAUAAUUUACUGACCG